GGACCACGAGGCAUCGCUGCUCACCGUGCACUGGGGUGAGCAGAGGCUGCAGAGCUACUGAGCCACAUAAGAGAUGGGUCACCCUGUGGUGGGCUCUCGGUCUGCCUGGGCUUCUGGGUUUUACCUCCAUUACCAGCCAGCAAACUGAAAAAGGCAGAAGCCCUCCAGAGUGGUUUUAGACGUCCAGGUCAAAGGGAGAGAAAGACAGAGGAGAAAGAGCCUGUACAAAAGUCAGGAUGGAAGGCAUUUUGUUCUGCACAAGUUGGUGAUGAUCCUGAGAUGCAAGUUUAAAUCAGCAAUUGCAUUUAAAUCAGCAUUAAAGGUGAUACUUCACUUGAUGUGUCCCUCUCUCUUGAAUGCCUUAUUUCAUGCAUUUUUGAUUCUUCUUAUGGGAUGGAGAGACUGAGGAUAUGGAAAGAAAAGCAAAAGUACCAAUAAAAUAAAUCAUAGACUGUGA